UUGACUCUACUGGAAGGGAGUGAAUUUUCUACCAAAAAAAGUCGUUAAAAGCCUGGCAAGGUUGAUCUGCCUCACAGAGAUAGCUCCGACUAUGAAAUGUCACCACCCCAGCAUCAGGUUCCAUGCGGUAGAAGUUCAAUGCUGGGAAAUCUGCCAUUCGUGACAACUCGGAUGAAGCCGGAGGGUAUUAUGCUCAGUGAAUUACACGGGACACAGAAAGACAAAUGCUGAAUGUUAUCACCUAUAUGUGCAUCACCCAGCUCAAGGACUGAACAUCUCCAGCCCUCACCCAGAAGGCUCCCUUGGGCUCUUUCUAAUUGGUAACCACCUUCCUCCCCACCUUUUAGGGAUUUUCAUUGCUAAUGUGCAAUGACAAAUGUCACUGCUGCAGAUGGGGAGGGAUACUAUGCAGUGGCCUCAGCCUGCAGAAGUAUAAACAACGAGAACUGCAGCGAUCGGCUCAGAAAAGCGUGUUGCAUGCACAUUGCUGCACAAAUCACCCAGUAGGUACCAAGAAGGCUGCUGUAGAGACCCUGCCUGAGAAGAGCUUGAAAAUUAGCUGGUAAAAAAGACAAACAUAUGGAAAAUGAAAUAAUACACGAUUUCUUAACAACCAUAAUCUAUGUGAAUAAAGCUGUCUGUGAGUUUAUAAAUUCUUCACAAAGGAUCUUGUCCAGCAACCUGAGGUCAUGGUGCAGGAGAGAUGUUCCCUUCAUUUUGAAGUAGGUGAGACUCAAAGGGAAGAAGUGGCUUCCAAGUCCCAUCAGGUGACUGCGUGGCAGAGCCAGGGGCCUGGACACGCACCCCCAUGGCAGCCUCCCUCUCGUGCUGAAUCACACUUACAGAGAGAUGGGGUCUGUCACGGCUUCCCCAGUGCUGGCUCAGAAUGGAGAAGUCAGGACAGGAUGCACAGGGCUGAGCUGAAGCUGAGUGCAAGGGUGGGUUGGAUUUGGUGGCGGGGUAAGGAGAAGGCCCCAGGAAGCCAGAGUCACGUGAGUAACACCUUUGGAACAGGUGAGUGCAAGGUUUCGGGGAGAGCAUGCAGGAGAUCCAGCCAGGUUUGGAUUUCCUAAUCCACAGGGCCUGGGUGGGAAGGAGAAGACGGUGAGUCUGUAGAGGAGGCUGGAGUCAGGACAGGGGACCAGCCAAGCCGGGAGGGUGCAGGUGCCUGGGACCAGGGCGGCAGCGGUGGAAGCAGGGAGACACAGUGAGGCUCUGAUCCUACGUGCCUGUUUGUCUUUUCAAUGUACUCCUUUUUGCUUCUGUUUGUUGUUUAGUUUAGUUUUCAACAGAUUGAAAGCCAUAUGCACUGUACUAGGCUAAAGGGACAAAGACAAAUAGGCCCUCGGUGUGAGGCUAGGAGUUGGGCUGUGUGUGCUGCUUGCUUGGCCGUGAGGUGUCAGAAGCUGCUCUCUUUGGUGUCCCUGCUUUUGUCUCCCCCGUGGUCUUGGGAUUCCCCAGAGACUUAUUCUUAAAGAAGGUCUGAGUGUGCUGUUCUUUCAGUGGCGGUCCCUGUCAUUACACAGGAGCCCCGCUGAGGUGGCAGCCAGGUGUGGGGCAGGGGGCAGGGGACGUGUUCUCUGGUCCUCUGGGGAGGGCUCUGCCCUCUCGUGCCCUGUGUCCCUGGACGGCCACUUCCACGGCACUUCUCACUGUGUUUUGUUUUUCCCUUUAGGUGGAACAGGAAGGCUACAGGGUCCAAGCUGGGUUUUUCUCUUCCCCAGCCAAAUGAUUGCACCUCGGAAGCCAUCAACAUCUGAUCUACAUAUUCACAAUCUGCUCGCCGGUGCAGUCUGAGACUCCUUACGAUAUAUCAGGUUGGACAGACAGAGUUUAUUUGCCGACGCCGGAUGCUGCUGAGCAUCGUAACUCAGCCCUGCGAAGGACGGGGCACCUGCAGAGCUGUCAGGAGGCUGCGCGGAGCCGGUGACACUCAUCCUGCUUGCUGGGCAGGGCAGAAUGGGGGGAACAGCACUCAGAGAUAUUUACGCAUAACACUCAGUAAUAGUAGUAGUAACAACACAGUCAGCACUAUUCUCUGAGCCCUGAUGUGUGUCCAGCCCUGCACUAAGGGCUUUAGAUGUGGUUCUCUCAUUUCAUCCGCCCAAAACCCCCGGGAGGCUGCCCGAUUAUCGCACCCAUUGCACGGAUGCAGAAAUCAGCAUUUGGGUGGCUUGAGUAUCUUGUCCAAGGCCCCACAGUGCAGAGGUUCUAUUGCUGGGAUUCUUAGUUAGAACAGCAUUUGCUCAUAGAGCUAAAUCCCUAUACCCAGAAUCCCUAAAGGGCUGGGCAGAUACACCAAUGUGUCCAUACUCUUCGGUGGAAUGGGGGUAUUCUUUUUUAUUCACAAUCUUUAUUGUGAGAACUUGCAAACUUUUAAAAAGUUAAGAGAAAAGUGCAAUGACCACCCAUAUAUCCUUCCCCUAGAUUUGUCAUUUGUUUAUGUUUUGCUUCUUUUUGUAUGUGUGACUUUUUUUGCCAUACUAUUUUGGAAUAAGGCGCACACACCAGGAAACUUCACUUCUAAACCCUCAGCAGGCACCUCAUCCAGUGGAGGUCCGAAUUUGUCUGAAGCGGAAACUGAACCUAAGAUGAGCAUCAGGAAUCCCACUGCUUUUGGAAAUUUUUCAGUCUCCUGAGAUGGCACUUCAGGUUCUCUCAAGAUCUGGCCCCAAUAAUGGCAUCACCUCCCCUCCCCUACCACGCUUUGCUGCACCCACCCGACUAACCAUUUCCUGAAGCCACAGGCAGCUCACGCUGUGGGGCCUCCGCUCAUCCAUUCCCUGCUGCAACUCUGUAAAUCCUGCUCGUCCCUAAAGGCCUGGUUGACGCCGCCCCUCCUUGGAGCCUCCCCCAAUGUCCACGUCUGUGGGGGCAGCUUUGUCUCAUAAUGUUCUGCUUUGCUUUAGGGGUAGCUGUUUCCCUGUCUGCAUGCUCCUUAAGGGCAGAGGGUCAUCCUUGAACCCUCCCUAACAUGUGACAUAGCAGUUUGCAUAUAGUAGGUGCUUAAUAAACACUCAUUGAAUUGGAUGGA